UGGAAAAAGUUCAGUCUAGGGUUUAAAACCCUAAUGCUGACUAAAUGGAAAAAGUUCAGUUUAGGGUUUAAAACCCUAAUGCUGACUAAAGAAAAGAGUUCAGUUUAGGGUUUAAAACCCUAAUGCUGACUAAAGGGAAAGUUCAGUUUAGGGUUUAAAACCCUGACUGGCUGGAAAGAGUUCAGUUUAGCGUUUAAAACCCUAAUGCUGACUGAAUGGAAAAAGUUCAGUUUAGGGUUUAAAACUCUAAUACUGACUGAAUGGGAAAAAGUUCAGUUUAGGGUUUAAAACCCUAAUGCUGACUAAAGGGAAAGUUCAGUUUAGGGUUUAAAACCAUAAUGCUGACUAAAGGAAAGAGUUCAGUUCAGGGUUUAAAACCCUAAUGCUGACUGAAGGAAAAGAUCAGUUUAGGGUUUAAAACCCUAAUGCUGGCUGGUUGGGGACAAAGUUCGAGGAUACUAACUGACCUCUUUUUUUGAAUUUUCUUAUUUUAGUAGAAGAUAAAAGGGAAUCUCGUGGAAACUUACCUCUCGAGUGGAUUCUUUAUUGCCAAACUGUUUCUUGUACUCAUGUACCUUCUUCGUUGGGUGACACCUGCUUCUUGCACGGUUGUCUUGGAUUAUACCUGUUUCAACUUCCCAAACAAAGAACAAUUGUUAGUUCGGAAAUGGCGGUUGGUUCGGUGACCUUGAUUGUUCCCAUUGCUUUGUUGCGUCCUUAUUUCUGUUGAGAAAUCCUGCCAUUGAUUGGAUUCAAAUGGCGAAACCCUUUUGGACUGCUCAGGCUUGUAUUUCCAAAUUCCG
rnacentral:lncRNA from 1 species